AUUGAACGCUGGCGGCAUGCUUUACACAUGCAAGUCGAACGGCAGCGCGGACUUCGGUCUGGCGGCGAGUUGCGAACGGGUGAGUAAGACAUCGGAACGUGCCUGAAAGUGGGGGACAACCAGUCGAAAGAUUGGCUAAUACCGCAUACGAUCUACGGAUGAAAGAGGGGGACCUUAGGGCCUCUUGCUUUUAGAGCGGCCGAUGGCUGAUUAGCUAGUUGGUGGGGUAAAGGCCUACCAAGGCGACGAUCAGUAGCUGGUCUGAGAGGACGAUCAGCCACACUGGGACUGAGACACGGACCAGACUCCUACGGGAGGCAGCAGUGAGGAAUAUUGGUCAAUGGACGAGAGUCUGAACCAGCCAAGUCGCGUGAAGGAUGACUGCCCUAUGGGUUGUAAACUUCUUUUAUGUGGGAAUAAAAAAGGGAACGUGUUCCCUAUUGCAUGUACCACUAUGAAUAAGCAUCGGCUAACUCCGUGCCAGCAGCCGCAGUAAAAC
rnacentral:rRNA from 1 species